UGGAUGGAUGGAUGGAUAUUGAGGAUUAGAGGCAGCAUGUGUCCUCAAAUACCAAUUGCAAAGAGACAAGAGCAUAAACUGUUAAAGUGUUCCUCUCUUGCCUUUGGCUUAACCAUAGCGAUCUGGCUGAUAAUUAUAGAAAGUCAGUUAAUAAUAGACUCCUUCCAGUAUUGACCUUUGGUCUGAAACUAAGAGGCUUUUCUUCUGUUCUGAUCCCAUGGAUUUCAGCAGAUCCAGCCUCUUCAGCUAUACUAAAAUUAGAUUUAGUUUAUUAACAGAUAUUAUACACAGUUCAACCAAUAGUAGUUAUAUUUUCUACACCAUGUUUUUUUCCCCUUCUGGAAUUUUGAAUGCCUGUUUUAAAAUUAGCCUUUGAAAUUACAUUUCUUUAUGUUUCUUUUAGAUAGAUUAUGAAAAAUUGAUCCAGUUAUUAACACUCCAGGCAUCAAGCAAAAUGCAACAUACCCUUCCUGAGAAGAAUGAAAAUAAAAAGAAUCCAAGCUCUUGGACAUCAGAAAAUACAUUUCUGGCACUGAAGCAGAUACUAAAAGAAUACAAUGGAGAGUU